GAGUUUGAUCGUGGCUCAGAUUGAACGCUGGCGGAAUGCUUUACACGUGCAAGUCGAGCGGCAGCGCGGGGCAACCUGGCGGCGAGCGGCGAACGGGUGAGUAAUGCAUCGGAACGUGUCCAUGUCGUGGGGGAUAGCCCGGCGAAAGCCGGAUUAAUACCGCAUACGCCCGAGAGGGGAAAGUGGGGGACCGCAAGGCCUCACGCGAUUGGGUCGGCCGAUGUCCGAUUAGCUAGUUGGCGGGGUAAAGGCCCACCAAGGCGAUGAUCGGUAGCUGGUCUGAGAGGAUGAUCAGCCACACUGGGACUGAGACACGGCCCAGACUCCUACGGGAGGCAGCAGUGGGGAAUUUUGGACAAUGGGGGCAACCCUGAUCCAGCCAUUCCGCGUGAGUGAAGAAGGCCUUCGGUUGUAAGCUCUUUGUUCCGGAACGAACGGUAGCGUGAACAUCGCUGCCUACUGACGGUACCGGAAGAAUAAGCACCGGCUAACUACGUGCCAGCAGCCGCGGUAAG
rnacentral:rRNA from 1 species